UGACAGGGAGAGCCCAGCACCGAAGCCUGUGGCCAUUUGGUCACUAGGCAAUGUGGUGUUUAGGUCGUUCCGCACAAGCACUGCUCCACCCUAAGUCCGGCAAUGAGCACGGGAGUACGGACAUGGCCCACAGAGGUGGAAAGGCCCGUGGGGGGGGAGAUUCUGCAGGCCAGUGCUUCUCUGGGAAGACCUUGUAGUCGGGUUGUUUGUGAAUGCAGCCCAAAGUGUGUGGCAAACUCCAUCCAAGGCUAAAUACAUGCACGAGUCCGAUAUCGAACAAGUACCGUGAGGGAAAGUUGAAAAGUACUUUGAAGAGAGAGUAAACAGUACGUGAAACCGCUCAGAGUCAAACAGAUGGAGUUGAACUGCAAUCCUUGAGAAUUCAACCGGCGAGUGUGGUUUGAGCUUGGUCAAACUGGCCGAACUAUAUGGUCUGUGUAGUAGCAGGCUCUCACCUUCGGGUGGGGGUGCGCGAUACACUUAUCAAGUGUUGUGCGCCAUAUGUUCUACGGGCCAACUCACCGGUGCACUUUCUCUUGGUGUUCACCACGACCGGCACUGCUGUCGGGCUGUUUUGGUUAAACCGGUCAGGUUUUGUCCUUGUGACUGGCUUGAUGGGGAUGGCAGGUAGCUCGUUGACUGGCUUGCGGCUUGCCGUGAGUUUCGGUUUUCGAGUGUAAUCAGCUGACCAAAACAGUUCUGUGCAGUGUGCCGGAGACGGCGGCUUUUGGUGUGUGCAUGCGUGCCUGUUCAGUUGGCGUGUCCGGGUUUGGUCGUUAUGUUGCCUGUUCAAGCAGGCCUAACGAUGGCUUGGAUUCGUUCAACUGGCGGUAGCGCUUGUUUCACUAUUUCCAGGGCCUAUAGUCUGUGGUGUAGUGGUAGACUUUCCAUCUGACCCGUCUUGAAACACGGACCAAGGAGAGUAAUAUGUGCGCGAGUCAUUGGGCGUUACGAAACCCAGAGGCACAGUGAAAGUGAAGGUUUGGCUUGUCCAGACUGUGGUGAGAUCCGGCUGUUUCUCACGCGUGGUAUCAACCGAGCUAGAGCAGAAGGCGCACCUCCGGCCCGUCCCAUGACAAUUGCUCUUGAGCAUUACACAGUCGAGGCGGAGCGUGAGCGUACAUGUUGAGACCCGAAAGAUGGUGAACUAUGCUUGCGCAGGUUGAAGCCAGAGGAAACUCUGGUGGAGGACCGCAGCGUUUCUGACGUGCAAAUCGAUCGCCAGACGUGAGUAUA
rnacentral:rRNA from 1 species